rnacentral:lncRNA from 1 species
GGUAAAUAUACAUAAUAUCUUUUAAAAAGUAGACUGAAAAAAUUAAGAGAACCUUCAGUGCUUUAAUCUGCACAUUGAAAUUAUUAAAGAAAGAUUUGAAGAUGGUGUAACUUUAUUGUAUUAUUAUUUAGUAGAGGCUUUGGGGGCACAAUGUAGUGUGCAAUAGGAUUUUUAGUUUUAAGAUAGCAAAGACAUCUUCAGACUCAAUCACCUGACAACAACAAGAAAAAAAAAUAAGUAGCAUUACCUUUGAUCAUACUAAGAUUUAUAAGACUGAUUUGCAGUAUAAGAAGACAGAAUGUGUGUGGCUUAAUGAUGAGUACUUGGUAAAGUCAAAUCAAGUGUCUGGAGAGCAUAAAGAAGCCUAGAGAAGUGAGCAGAUCUGACCCCCAGAAAGACUCAAGAAUCAGAACCACCAGGUGUCAUGUAAGGCAAGAUGUCAAACCCAGUGUUUUUAUUUGAUAAUCGAUGUAAGUAGUUACAAAUCGUUGUCAGAUGUGUACAUAAAACAUCUUGAUUCCCAUCAGCAAAGGAAGCAUGAGACUUACUCUCUGUAGAAGCUGUUUCAGAGGUUUUAGUUCAUGGGUACAUGAACAGUUGUAGAUGAACUAUCAGUGACUGUGGACUCCCUACCCCAUCCAGCUUCAGAAAGCUGACCAACUGUGAUAUGAGUUUGGGCUAUCCUACAGAGAAACCAAGUACUGAAAAGAAACACAUUGACAUUUUGAUAUUCCUAAUAAAAAUUUACUUGGUUUCUAACCACUUUAUAAUCAGGUUCACUAGUUUAAUGGUAUUUGUGUUCCCUUCUCCUUAUCUGAAAUUUCAACUUUGUGGUGCUUAACUUGUAAAUAUGAGUAGACAGCCAAGGAUCACUAAAUGUUUGAGGGAAACCUUCAGUGUAAAAAGAAAUCCUUCUUAAAAAAAAAUUACUUGGAAACUAAUAUAUAAAGAGCAGAAUUAAACUUCAAAAAAAUCUGUGAUUAAUAUGUUUAAAUGAAUAUGGGAAAAUGUUGCAUCUAUAAAC